UUCAAUAUGACAUUAUAGCUACUUGACAUUCGAUUUUGUAGCUCUUCACGGAAAAAUUCAAGCUCCUUUUGAUUUACUACUCUUGUAUUUCCAAACCAUCGGCGAUCGGGUUGGAUGCGCGUGUUGGGGAGCUCCUUAGAUUGCAAUUCAUGCUUCAAAAUUUUCCCCUUGCUGUUGCGCUGGGGUUUGGUAUUGUACAUCUUGAGGCGGCGAACGGUGGAAGCGCUUCGCGAGCCAUUGUUCGUUCCAUUGCCGCGAUUUAUGUCCAGAGAGUGCUUCGGUUUCCCUGACACGUUCCUUUUCUUCUCCUUCUUCACCAUCUUCUUCACCUCGUUUCACUUGCUGCUAGAGAGAAAUUUCUUGAGAGAUGAGAUGAUGAGCAUGUGGCGGCCUGAAACCGCAGGCUGGGC
rnacentral:misc_RNA from 1 species